rnacentral:lncRNA from 1 species
CUGGAAGCCACGAUGGAGGAGCCUUGGGGAGCCCCACAUCCCUCCCCAGUAUGUGCUCAUCAAAGACAGGAAUUUUUACAAGAACUGAACCAUACUGAACUUCAAGGACUGAAGAGGAGUGAAGACCCCAAAAGUGAAAGCAAAGUCAAGGUGCAGAAAGGCACUGAGCAGAGUGAAGAAUUCCCAAAAAGCAACAUUAAAGACUUCCCAGAAGGAAAAUGGCAGCAUCAUUUAGGAUGUAUCCCUGCUGCCUCUGCCUUUGACUUUCAGAUGGAACUUGACAGAGCCAUUGCAGUCCUGGUGAAUGCCCUUUCCCUUUCAUCCUGGAUAGCUGAUGCGGUCAGCUUAUCAGAUCACAUAGCACAGGUUGGUCCAU